GACGUACUUCCUCCGUCCGAAAAUAUUUGUCAUCAAAAUGGAUGCAAAGAGAUGUACCUAGACGUAUUUUAAUUCUAGAUACAUCCCUUUUUGUCCAUUUUAAUGACAAGUAUUUUCAGACGAAGGGGAUAGUAC
rfam:Triticum aestivum genome assembly, contig: Triticum_aestivum_CS42_TGACv1_scaffold_320766_4BL